AUAGCGGCUGAGCUCAGCGCCGUGGAAGGAGUGACGUCGGCGCGGCCGACACAUCCGCGUCCACGUCCACGUUCCCCCAUCGCCCAGCUCUGGAUAAGGCCAAAGCCGUGGCGGAGAUCCCUGAAGCGUGCAGGGAGGACUCGGCAUCCUCUGUGCUGUCCCAAACAGCUCAAAAGAAACGCACUGUGGGCAGCAGCACAGAAGUAGGGUCAAGCAAGCAAGAAGAGUGAGCCAAGGGGUCCUUGGUCCUCCCCUCCCCCCUCCAUCUGCUGCUCCAUUCAUCUGCAAAGCACAAGGAAUCAGGCAAAUCUCUUGCUAUAAACCAGAUUUGCCUUUGUAAGCUUUGAAAUAAACCUAAGGAUUAAAGU
rnacentral:lncRNA from 7 species